rnacentral:tRNA from 2 species
GGAGGAGUACCCAAGUGGCUGAAGGGGACGGUUUGCUAAAUCGUUAGAUCGGGGCAACCUGGUGCGAGGGUUCGAAUCCCUCCUCCUCCGCCA